AAAGAAAAACCACACUGCAUCUACAAUGCUUGUGGAAACGCAAGCUUUGCAGCAGCUCCAGGAUGAGCGCCAGCCUGCUGGGAAGGGUCCUCCAUGCUGUGUACACUUCACAGGUACAGAAACAGGGCACAGUGGGGACACCUGUCCUCCCCCCAGUCUCACGGGGGCAGCAGCGGAGCCCACGUGAGAACCAGAGCUGUGGAGGCCCCGGCUGCUGCGAGACUGCAAUGUCAGCUUGUGGCUGGAACAUGGCUUUCUGGGCUGACUCCUGGGGGUACUCAGGGCCUCCCUGAGUGUCCAGCAGGACACAAAGAGGGAAGGCCACGCCCACAUCCUGGGACAGGACUGCGCCAAACCCCCAGGUGCACUAAAGGCCAAGGGCCACGCAGAGGAAGGAGGAGGAGGUCCGCCUCAGCCAGGCCAGCUUCCUCCCAGUCCCAGCAGGAGCUCGAUGCUACGCAGCCCUGGCGGGCAGCCCCCCUCCCAGUCCCGCAGCGGCUCGGCCCUUCACGGCUCUGCCUGUGCACCCUACGUGCAGGUAGAACCAGGGAAAAUGCCUGCUGACCUGGUGGCCUCCAGGCCACACAUGGAUCCCAGAGUGAGCCUGGGCCCGGGCUCCCGCUCACCUCGCACCCGGGCCUCGCUGGAAAACUCCUUGCAGUCGGAUUUCAGGUGGAUGAUGAUUUUUGUCCCGGUUCUAACUCCCGAAGCUUCGGCGAUUUCAAACACUCCAGAACUAAGGCAGGCAAAGAAAGGAAAAGCCAGGUGGAUGUGACACUGGGACAUACCCUGCAUGGGACUCCAGCGGUUCCCGAGGGUUUCAUAGGCAGAGCCCAAACAACACACAACACACCUCAAAUGCCCCAUUUCUGACCCCAGCGCACCACUCAGGCCAUCACAUGCCCAUCAGGAACGAUGAGCCUGUCGCAGGCGGCAGAGUUCUCCUGGUUCCCUCGGGCGGGGGGCGGGGGGGCGGGGGUCCUCCACCGACCCUGGGCUUCGAAGAAGCUUCUGGGCUUACCCCAAAAGCAGGCCUGGGGCACUGUGGGGGACUGGCCCAGCUCCAAAUCGGGUGCCAGAUGCCCAGGGGCAAAAACAAAGGCCAGGGGGACAGGCGCCCCCUAAGAAGAGCAGAAAACCAUCUCCGAAGCACAGGAGGGGGGAAUCCCCCGGCAGGGCCAUGUUGAUGCCUUGGCCUAAGUUUACUCUGAGCCCCGCUCCCAUGGAAUUAAACAGGAAUGUUAGUUUUGGGAGAGUGGGGAGUCAAGCUGAGCACAGUGCACACACUGUGGAGCAGAAAUGGCAUCACGGAGGGAGGACGCCUCGGCUGGCUGGAAGCGGCUCACCUGCUAAAAAGCCCUCGGAGCCAGGCGUGGUGGCUCACGUCUAUAAUCCCAGCACUUUGGGAGGCCAAGACGGGCAGAUCACCUGAGGUCGGGGUUCGAGACCAGUCUGACCAACAUGGAGAAACCCUGUCUCUACUAAAAAUACAAAAUUAGCUGGGCGUGGUGGCAUGCGCCUGUAGUCCCAGCUACUCAGGAGGCUGAGGCAGGCCAAUUGCUUGAACCUGGGAGGCGGAGGUGGCAGUGAGCCAAGAUUGUGCCAUUGCACUCCAGCCUAGGCAACAAGAGUAAAACUCCGUCCCAAAGG
rnacentral:lncRNA from 1 species